rnacentral:rRNA from 1 species
AGUGGGGAAUAUUGCACAAUGGGCGCAAGCCUGAUGCAGCCAUGCCGCGUGUAUGAAGAAGGCCUUCGGGUUGUAAAGUACUUUCAGCGGGGAGGAAGGCGAUGGGGUUAAUAACCGCGUCGAUUGACGUUACCCGCAGAAGAAGCACCGGCUAACUCCGUGCCAGCAGCCGCGGUAAUACGGAGGGUGCAAGCGUUAAUCGGAAUUACUGGGCGUAAAGCGCACGCAGGCGGU